rnacentral:ncRNA from 2 species
UAAAUUCACUAGGGGUGUUCUGAAAAGAACUGAGACGUGGUUUAGGCACGGACCCUUUGAACCUGUAAGUUUAUACUUGCGUAGGGAAAGUGACGAAGCUAGCAA